UCCACUCAAUGCAUGUGUGGCUGCCAAAGGAUUCUCUGUGGCUAGCACACACUGCUCCUCCAUUUUCAUCCCCUGACUUGUGAGUGUUCUAUUUUCUGGUUUUCCCUUUACUGUGUCUGAAAAUGAAGAGUAUGGACACUGGUCAUCAGAGCUCUUCUGCCUAUUUAUUACCCGGGGAUCGUUAGGAAAGGCAUCCUCCGGUGGUAGACACACCAGCUGUUCUUCCAGGGAUUUCAUA